rnacentral:rRNA from 1 species
GAAUAAUUGGGUUCUAAAGGGUCCGUAGGCGGGUUGGUAAGUCAGUGGUGAAAUCUCCCCGCUCAACUCGGAAACUGCCAUUGAUACUGUAAGGCUUGAAUCUCACGAAGUAACUGGAAUAUGUAAUGUAGCGGUGAAAUGCUUACAUAUUACAUGGAAUACCAAUUGCGAAGGCAGGUUACUACUAAUGGAUUGACCCUGAUGGACGAAAGCGUGGGUAUCGAACCGGAUUAGAUACCCUGGUAGUCCACGCCCUAAACCAUGGAUACUAUCCGUUGGGAGCA